UGCUGAACCUGGGGUGAGAGCUAGAUAUUCUCAAACCAAGAAACAGAUACCCUCCUGGUCUAGUGAGCUCUGACCAGAAUGUUAACAGGAGUAAACCUUUGGAGAUAAGGGGAUCUGAUUAAAUAAACAGUCUCGUCAAGAAAUAUACCUUCGUGGACGGUGCUCCACGUACUCAGUCGAUGCACCAAAUUUUCCACCGCAAGACGUGCUUCCUCGUUCCUAGAGUAUAAAUGAACUGUGGAUAUUUACAGAAACAAGCGCGUGAGAAAUGGGUAUGAUGAC
rnacentral:lncRNA from 1 species